rnacentral:rRNA from 1 species
GACGAACGCUGGCGGCGCGCUUAACACAUGCAAGUCGAGCGAGAACCAGGGCUUCGGCCCUGGGGAAAGCGGCGAACGGGUGAGUAACACGUGGGUAAUCUGCCCUCGGUUUCGGGAUAGCCCGGGGAAACCCGGAUUAAUACCGAAUGGCCCUUCAGCCCUCCGGAGCGGCAGGGAGAGGUAGCUUCGGCCUCCGACCGAGGAUGAGCCCGCGGCGGAUUAGCUUGUUGGUGGGGUAACGGCCCACCAAGGCGACGAUCCGUAGCUGGUCUGAGAGGACGAUCAGCCACACUGGGACUGAGACACGGCCCAGACUCCUACGGGAGGCAGCAGUGGGGAAUCUUGCGCAAUGGGCGAAAGCCUGACGCAGCGACGCCGCGUGCGGGAAGAAGGCCUUCGGGUUGUAAACCGCUUUCAGGAGGGACGAAGCCACUCGGGUUAAUAGCCCAGAGGGUGACGGUACUUCCAGAAGAAGUCCCGGCUAACUACGUGCCAGCCGCCGCGGUAA